AGGAAGUCGUAUCGGAUUACUGGGCGUAAGCGUGCGCAGGCGGUUUUGUAAGUCUGACGUGAAAUCCCCGGGCUCAACCUGGGAAUUGCGUUGGAGACUGCAAGGCUGGAGUCUGGCAGAGGGGGGUAGAAUUCCACGUGUAGCAGUGAAAUGCGUAGAGAUGUGGAGGAACACCGAUGGCGAAGGCAGCCCCCUGGGUCAAGACUGACGCUCAUGCACGAAAGCGUGGGGAGCAAACAGGAUUAGAUACCCUGGUAGUCCACGCCCUAAACGAUGUCUACUAGUUGUCGGGUCUUAAUUGACUUGGUAACGCAGCUAACGCGUGAAGUAGACCGCCUGGGGAGUACGGUCGCAAGAUUAAAACUCAAAGGAAUUGACGGGGACCCGCACAAGCGGUGGAUGAUGUGGAUUAAUUCGAUGCAACGCGAAAAACCUUACCUACCCUUGACAUGUCAGGAACCUCCGAGAGAUCGGAGGGUGCCCGAAAGGGAACCUGAACACAGGUGCUGCAUGACUGUCGUCAGCUCGUGUCGUGAGAUGUUGGGUUAAGUCCCGCAACGAGCGCAACCCUUGUCAUUAGUUGCUACGAAAGGGCACUCUAAUGAGACUGCCGGUGACAAACCGGAGGAAGGUGGGGAUGACGUCAAGUCCUCAUGGCCCUUAUGGGUAGGGCUUCACACGUCAUACAAUGGUACAUACAGAGGGCCGCCAACCCGCGAGGGGGAGCUAAUCCCAGAAAGUGUAUCGUAGUCCGGAUCGCAGUCUGCAACUCGACUGCGUGAAGUUGGAAUCGCUAGUAAUCGCGGAUCAGCAUGCCGCGGUGAAUACGUUCCCGGGUCUUGUACACACCGCCCGUCACACCAUGGGAGCGGGUUUUACCAGAAGUAGGUAGCUUAACCGCAAGGAGGGCGCUUACCACGGUAGGAUUCGUGACUGGGGUG
rnacentral:rRNA from 1 species